UGGCGAAACCGCCCGGAUUCCUGGGCGGUCGGCCGGGGGUGGUGCCCCGGUCCUGAUGAGCCAGCCGCUC
rnacentral:hammerhead_ribozyme from 1 species